UUUAAUAAUAUAAUAUUUUAACUCAAUUUUCACUCUCUCCUUAUAUUAUUCCUUUUUUAUUUUCAUCCUAAAAAAAAUCUACAUAUUUUCUUUUUCUCUUUGACAUUCGUCGGAAAUUGGGUCAUCUUAAACCUUUGGGUUUUAAGCGGCUUAAAAUUUUCUUUACGAUUCCACGAACGUUUCUAAGAUUUUACUUCUUACACGUUUAAGGUAUCGAUCUUUAUUAGACGUGGCCGUUUCAUCGGAUCACGUCCAUAAAUAUUGCGUUAACUGACCUCAUACAGGUAAGAACACCCGCUGA
rnacentral:misc_RNA from 1 species